rnacentral:tRNA from 1 species
GGGCCUGUGGUCUAGUGGUUAUGAUAUCGCCUUGACGCGCACUAGGAUCAAAGUGCUCAGAAUGGCGAGGAUCCCCGGUUCGAAUCCGGGCAGGCCCA